GAUGAACGCUGGCGGCGUGCCUAAUACAUGCAAGUCGAGCGAACGGACGAGAAGCUUGCUUCUCUGAUGUUAGCGGCGGACGGGUGAGUAACACGUGGAUAACCUACCUAUAAGACUGGGAUAACUUCGGGAAACCGGAGCUAAUACCGGAUGAUAUUUUGAACCGCAUGGUUCAAAAGUGAAAGACGGUCUUGCUGUCACUUAUAGAUGGAUCCGCGCUGCAUUAGCUAGUUGGUAAGGUAACGGCUUACUAAGGCAACGAUGCAUAGCCGACCUGAGAGGGAGAUCGGCCACGCUGGAACUGAGACACGGUCCCGACUCAGACGGGUAGCAGCAGUAGGGGUUCUUCGGAAAUGGGCGAAGGCCGGACGGAGCAACGCCGCGUGAGUGAUGAAGGUCUUCGGAUCGGAAAUCUCUGUUAUUAGGGAAGAACAGAUGUGUAAGUAGCUGGACGCGUCUUGACGGUACCUAAACAAAAAGCAACGGCUAACUACGUG
rnacentral:rRNA from 1 species